UUUUUUUUUCUUAAGGCCGCUUAGUCGCACGUCACUGUAGCAUUGUGUUUGCUACCUGGUAACGCUGUUCUCUUAUCUCACCCCCCCCUCUUCUUUAGGUUUAGGAGGAAGUGGUGUGGUGCUCGCUUCUCCCUUCCUUCCGGCGCUCCAGGGCCUGUUGGUGCCAGAACUAGUCAAGAGCCGUUGCAAGCCAGCCAGAUUUCUCUGCCAUGUCUGGAAGAGAGGGUGGCAAGAAAAAGCCCUUGAAGCAACCGAAAAAGCAAUCAAAGGAACCGGAUGAGGAAGACCAGGCUUUCAAGCAAAAGCAGAAGGAGGAGCAAAAGAAGCUGGAAGAGCUGAAGGCCAAAGCUUCUGGGAGAGGCCCUCUUAGUGGAGGUGGUAUUAAGAAAUCUGGUAAGAAGUAGCAGGUUGGAUGGACGACGUGCCAAGUGAAGCUUUUUGUCCCCCUCAGAUGCUUGGCAGCGGGACAGAGCUCAUGUUGUAGGAGACGUUAAUUUGUGCACCUUUGUACUUUUUGUUCAAACGAAAUGAAUAGGGGGGUUGGUUAAUGACUGUUCUCUCUCCACCUUCGCCGUGUGUUAUUUCCAAGAGGCAAAUACAUGUAAGGUCAGAAUCUGUUCAGAGUCGCCAGUGCCCAGGAGUUCAGCCAUUUAGUGGUAGUAAACAUUUCCUUGGUA